rnacentral:rRNA from 1 species
CUGCUGCCUCCCGUAGGAGUUUGGGCCGUGUCUCAGUCCCAAUGUGGCCGUCCACCCUCUCAGGCCGGCUACUGAUCGCUGCCUUGGUGGGCCGUUACCCCGCCAACUAGCUAAUCAGACGCGGAUCCAUCGUAUACCNCCGGAGUUUUUCACACUGCCCCAUGCGGAGCCGUGCGCUUAUGCGGUAUUAGCACCUAUUUCUAAGUGUUAUCCCCCGGUAUACGGCAGGUUAUCCACGCGUUACUCACCCGUCCGCCA